GACGAACGCUGGCGGCGUGCUUAACACAUGCAAGUCGAACGGAAAGGCCCUGCUUUUGUGGGGUGCUCGAGUGGCGAACGGGUGAGUAACACGUGAGUAACCUGCCCUUGACUUUGGGAUAACUUCAGGAAACUGGGGCUAAUACCGGAUAGGAGCUCCUGCUGCAUGGUGGGGGUUGGAAAGUUUCGGCGGUUGGGGAUGGACUCGCGGCUUAUUAGCUUGUUGGUGGGGUAGUGGCUUACCAAGGCUUUGACGGGUAGCCGGCCUGAGAGGGUGACCGGCCACAUUGGGACUGCGAGACGGCCCAGACUCCUACGGGAGGCAGCAGUGGGGAAUAUUGCACAAUGGGCGGAAGCCUGAUGCAGCAACGCCGCGUGCGGGAUGACGGCCUUCGGGUUGUAAACCGCUUUCGCCUGUGACGAAGCGUGAGUGACGGUAAUGGGUAAAGAAGCACCGGCUAACUACGUG
rnacentral:rRNA from 1 species